rnacentral:rRNA from 1 species
UACGUAGGGGGCAAGCGUUGUCCGGAAUCAUUGGGCGUAAAGCGCGUGUAGGCGGUCCGAUUAGUCGGCUGUGAAAGUCAAGGGCUCAACUUCGGGGUCGGCCGUUGAUACUGCUGUGCUCGAGCACUGUAGAGGCAGAUGGAAUUCCGGGUGUAGCGGUGGAAUGCGUAGAGAUCCGGAAGAACACCGGUGGCGAAGGCGGUUCUCUGGGCCUUACCUGACGCUGAGGAGCGAAAGCGUGGGGAGCGAACAGG